rnacentral:rRNA from 1 species
UACGGUGCCUCGACCGCGACCGCAGGUCAGGCAGGAUACCCCAG